GACGUAGGGGGCGCGCGUUGUCCGGAUUUAUUGGGCGUAACGAGCGCGUAGGCGGCCCGGCAAGUCGGAUGUGAAAACCCGGGGCUCAACCCCGGGCCUGCAUCCGAUACUCCCGGGCUGGAGGCAGGUAGGGGAGAUCGGAAUUCCUGGUGUAGCGGUGAAAUGCGCAGAUAUCAGGAGGAACACCGGUGGCGAAGGCGGAUCUCUGGGACGGUACUGACGCUGAGACGCGAAAGCGUGGGGAGCAAACAGG
rnacentral:rRNA from 1 species